rnacentral:misc_RNA from 1 species
CCCAACUAUCCCUAUUAAUCAUUACGUCAAUCCUAGAAACCAACAAAAUAGGAUCGAACGUCCUAUUUCAUUAUUCCAUGCUAACGCUUGAAUACAUUAGCAUGGAAUAAUGAAAUAGGACGUUCGAUCCUAUUUCAUUAUUCCAUGCUAAUGUAUUCAAGCGUUAGCCUGCUUUAAACACUCUAAUUUUUUCAAAGUAACAGUCCAGAUUCCCUGCAACACCAAAUUAAUGGCAUUACAGUUCAUCAGGAAGGAGGAAUCAGUAAGACCAGUACAUACCGGUGGCAUGACCAGCCUACUAACCCCGAAAUUCAACUACGAGCUUUUUAACUGCAACAACUUUAAUAUACGCUAUUGGAGCUGGAAUUACCGCGGCUGCUGGCACCAGACUUGCCCUCCAA